UUUUGUAUUUUUGCAGGAACUUUCUUUGCUUUUUAAACUUUUUGUAAUAAUAAUUUUUGGAAUUUAUCUUUUGCUUAACUCUGCAGCAAUUUUUGGGUAUAACUUUUUGUUUUUAUUUUAAUUGUAUUUUUAUUUUGAUUUAGAUUUUGGUUUUUAUGUUUUACCGCGUAAUCCAAAAAUGCGUUUCGGGUUCUGAGAUUUGAGACAGGUCGACUUUUCUUCACAUUAACAGACGAGUUAAAUAUAUUUAUAUUUAUAUUUAUAUUUAGUUUGCAUAAAUAUAUUUUAUAUAU